AUCAAAUCGUGGUAAAAGGUAA
rnacentral:snRNA from 1 species